GAGUUUGAUCCUGGCUCAGAACGUACGCUGGCGGCACGCCUAACACAUGCAAGUCGAACGAAGUAGCAAUACUUAGUGGCAGACGGGUGAGUAACAUGUAGGUAUCUUCCCUUUGGCCUGGAAUAACACGAGGAAACUUGUGCUAAUACCGGAUAAGUCUUCACAGAGAAAGCUUUAUGCACCAUUGGAUGAGCCUGCACUUGAUUAGUUUGUUGGUAGGGUAAUGGCCUACCAAGACUGUGAUCAAUAGCUGAUUUGAGAGGAUGAUCAGCCACAUUGGGACUGAGACACGGCCCAAACUCCUACGGGAGGCAGCAGUGGGGAAUCUUGCACAAUGGAGGAAACUCUGAUGCAGCGAUGCCGCGUGAGUGAAGAAGGCCCUUGGGUUGUAAAGCUCUUUCGUCGGGGAAGAAAAUGACUGUACCCGAAUAAGAAGGUCCGGCUAACUUCGUGCCAGCAGCCGCGGUAAUACGAAGGGACCUAGCGUAGUUCGGAAUUACUGGGCUUAAAGAGUUCGUAGGUGGUUGAAAAAGUUGGUGGUGAAAUCCCAGAGCUUAACUCUGGAACUGCCAUCAAAACUUUUCAGCUAGAGUUUGAUAGAGGAAAGCAGAAUUUCUAGUGUAGAGGUGAAAUUCGUAGAUAUUAGAAAGAAUACCAAUUGCGAAGGCAGCUUUCUGGAUCAUUACUGACACUGAGGAACGAAAGCAUGGGUAGCGAAGAGGAUUAGAUACCCUCGUAGUCCAUGCCGUAAACGAUGUGUGUUAGACGUUGGAAAUUUAUUUUCAGUGUCGCAGCGAAAGCGAUAAACACACCGCCUGGGGAGUACGACCGC
rnacentral:rRNA from 1 species